GACGAACGCUGGCGGCGUGCCUAAUACAUGCAAGUAGAACGCUGAAGAGAGGAGCUUGCUCUUCUUGGAUGAGUUGCGAACGGGUGAGUAACGCGUAGGUAACCUGCCUUGUAGCGGGGGAUAACUAUUGGAAACGAUAGCUAAUACCGCACAACAAUGGAUGACACAUGUCAUUUAUUUGAAAGGGGCAAUUGCUCCACUACAAGAUGGACCUGCGUUGUAUUAGCUAGUAGGUGAGGUAAUGGCUCACCUAGGCGACGAUACAUAGCCGACCUGAGAGGGUGAUCGGCCACACUGGGACUGAGACACGGCCCAGACUCCUACGGGAGGCAGCAGUAGGGAAUCUUCGGCAAUGGGGGCAACCCUGACCGAGCAACGCCGCGUGAGUGAAGAAGAUUUUCGGAUCGUAGAGCUCUGUUGUAAGUCAAGAACGGGUGUGAGAGUGGAAAGUUCACACUGUGACGGUAGCUUACCAGAAAGGGACGGCUAACUACGUG
rnacentral:rRNA from 1 species